rnacentral:tRNA from 1 species
GCCUGGCUGGCUCAGUCGGUAGAGCAUGGGACUCUUGAUCUCAGGAUUGUGAGUUUGAGCCCCAUGUUGGGCA